rnacentral:lncRNA from 1 species
AUUUAAUCCAGCUCAGCCAGGUAGGGCAGCCUGUGCUAGGGAAUGGCCCCAUCCAACAGCAAGCCCUCAGGCAACUUGUGGACCUGCAUAGGCUGGGUGCCUGGACCCUCUGCAAAGGAUGAGCCAGAGGUAACUCUAGACUUUGGCCAAGACUACAGAGGGUGAAAAAUUCCAAAAUAAGUUAUGAGCACUUCUCUGUAAAAAGAGAUUUGUGUUUCAGAAAAUAAAGUGCAGAGCCCCAGGUCAGAGUAAGUUGCCUUCAUAAUCACAAGCUAUGCACAAAACACAGAGCUGGGAAGAGUUGUGGAUACAAACCUGGGACCUCAGACAUUUUCAACAUUUGUAGAGAAGCGAGGAAUAAGUUGUUUUGAGCCAAAUUUCAGGAAGUGCCGCAUCUUGGGGGCAAUCCAGGGAAUAAUUGUCAACUGUGCAAAGGUUCAAUAUGUCAGACUUGAAUCUGGAAAAUGGCCUGGAAGCUAAUGACAAUCAUCUUGACACCUUCUAGAGUCUGAGAGUGAAAAUGAAGUCAAGAUAAACAAGAGAGUCAAGAGAUGGAGAGAGAUGGGUCCUGGGUGAAAUUCUCUGAGGCUCUAAAUCCAUUUUUGCCUGAUGCAUGAUCCAUUGUAAAAUUUAAACAUCCUGUUUCACUUAAGAAAAAUUUGGUUAGUAUAUCAAUGUGUGUAUGACACAUAACACACACAUCAUACAUACAUAUUAUGUAUAUAUACCUAUAUACACAUGCUGUUCCAUUUACAUUUACUUCUUUUUUUUUUUUUUUUUAGAUUUUAUUUUUUCCUUUUUCUUCCCAAAGCCCCCUGGUACAUAGUUGUGUAUUAAUUCGUUGUGGGUUCUUCUAGUUGUGGCAUGUGGGACGCUGCCUCAGCGUGGUUUGAUGAGCAGUGCUAUGUCCGCGCCCAGGAUUCGAACUAAUGAAACACUGAGCCGCCUGCAGCGGAGCGCGCGAACUUAACCACUCGGCCAC